GGCAUUGCCUGCCUUGCCUGUUCAGCAAAUUGAUCACCAGGUCUACUAUCCCAAUGUCAUUUCCCUUCCUCGAAGCUGAGAUGCCUCACUGGAAUUAACCCUUUGCAAUAUUGGCUGUAUGAUCUGCUGCCUCGCAAUAUGCAACUCUUCCAGCGCAUGGUUACAGGCCUAAAGAACUAAGAGCUUCAAAACUGUUUCCUGCCAUAUAAAUCUACAUGUUGGAGGAGGGCAUGCUGCUGGUGAAGAGAGAUGAAGAGAGAACCGCUCCAGGCACAGGUUUCCCAGGCGUGCACCUCAAGGUUUGUGUUUUGCCUGUCCCAAAGCACAUCCUCAUUUGCCACAAGGAUGGAAAAGGGUCAGGGGUAGAUCUUAACCUCUGCCUCUACAAUCCGUGGUUUCAAGAGAUACAUUUGAAAUAACACAAACUUCUCCAAAAGCACCCAAGAAGUGAGGAAAUACAAGCUGUAAAGCAGUAGUCAUAAAAGGCAGCAUAUGUGGUUUAACUGAAUUUGUCUGGAGUUCAAUUAAGCAAUAAGACACGAUGGGGUGUGUCCUAUCACUGGGCCAUCAAUGCAAGUCCCUGGGGCACUGUGAGGCACAGAGCCAAAGUGCAGAGUGCAUUAACAGCCCGGUAAUACAUGCUUUGUCAUGUCCCAUGGUUCCCAGAGGAUAAUGCUUGUCUUUUGAAAUGAAAGAACAAGAAGAGGUCCUUCAAAAAUUUGGGAACCAAGAUCAACUUUUCAUAUGAGAGUUUAAGAAUGGAAGACAUAGAUUUGGAGAUGUGGGAUUGAAGACUGUUGGCUGCCUGGAGCUUCUUGUUACACUUCAGACAUCUCUCUGAUGGCCAUGUAGGGAU